UGAGUAGGCCGAACGACAGCGCGCGCUAUUGCGCGUGAGGAAAGUCGGGGCUUCGCAGGGUAGGAUGCCUGUUAGAUGCAGGGCGCAGCGAUGCGACGGAAAGUGCCGCAGAAAAGAAAACUCCCACUGCCGCAGGUAAGGGAAAAGCUGAAACGGUGUGGUAAGAGCGCACCAGCAUCGGGGCAACUCGGUGGCUUGGCAAACCCCAUCCGAAGCAAGAGCAUGUAGGCGUGGCUAAGGCUGACCCGGCCGACACGCGGGUAGCUCGCUUGAGGUGCACAGCGAUGUGCAUCCCAGAUAAAUUGUCGUUUGCAACAACAGAACCCCGCUUACAGGCCUACUCAGUUC
rnacentral:RNase_P_RNA from 1 species